rnacentral:rRNA from 1 species
UACGUAGGGUGCAAGCGUUUAUCCGGAAUUAUUGGGCGUAAAGAGCUCGUAGGCGGUUUGUCGCGUCUGCUGUGAAAACUGGGGGCUCAACCCCCAGCCUGCAGUGGGUACGGGCAGACUAGAGUGCGGUAGGGGGAGAUUGGAAUUCCUGGUGUAGCGGUGGAAUGCGCAGAUAUCAGGAGGAACACCGAUGGCGAAGGCAGAUCUCUGGGCCGUAACUGACGCUGAGGCGCGAAAGCGUGGGGAGCAAACAGG